GGAAAGUGUUAUUUAGGUUUUCCAUUUAGUUGACUAUUGGAAUGACUAAAUUAUGAAAACAAUGAGUAAAUUAUAAUGAAAUUAAAGUUGAUGAUAAAAUUGGAAUAAAUGGAAAAUUAGUGACUGAAUUGACAUCAGCUUUAAGUUAAGAAACUACAAGUAAAAUUUACCCAUUCGAAAACCAAAUAAAACUAAGACUUAGGGAAACAAAAUUCUAUCAGAAAUUCUGAUAUGUGAAUUCAUUUUCAUAAAAAAACAACAGGCAACUGACAUUCAAGAUCCAUUUCGCAGAGCAAAAAAAAG
rnacentral:misc_RNA from 1 species